ACGGCUAUCAACACUGCCGUCC
rnacentral:miRNA from 1 species